rnacentral:lncRNA from 1 species
UCUGUAUGGACUGACAUAACAGCAUGAUAACACCAACAUUGGUCUGUAUGACUGACAGCACAGGACACCAACGUUGGUCUGUACCCACUGAUAGAACACCAUAAUAACACCAACAUCAGUGUGUAUGGACUGACAGCACAGAGACCAACAUUGGUCUGUAUGGACUGAUAGCACAGAGAUCAACAUUGCUCUGUAUGGACUGACAUAACAGCAUAACACCAACAUUGGAGUGUAUGGACUGACUGCACAGGGACCCACAUCGGCCUGUAUGGACUGACAGCACAGAGACCAACAUCGGCCUGUAUGGACUGACUGCACAGAGACAGCAACAUCGGUU